GUCUUAUCUUCCCGGGUCGCCGCGAGUCGUCAGGAAGAAAUCCCGCCGUUACGAAAUAUUUAAACUUGGACUACACUGCCGGUACCAUUAAACAGAUACGGGAAAUGUGGAAAAUUCGCGCCAGAAUAUCUGCUUAUACGGCAACCACGUCGUCGCAGCGAUUUUCCGUAUUCGAAAUACCGGCAGCGACGAAUGCGACGACAAAGUAGUGCAAGAUUUACGAGUUUUACAAAUAUGGCGACCGAAGAUUUACGAGUUUCGCAAAUAAGUAUCCGUGGUGAGUUCGUGAGAAUGAAGAGAGUUAACUGUGGGAAACUUUACUUGCGCCAGCACGAUAUCGCAAAAGAGAAAAAGAAUUUUGAUAGAACACAUGAUGCAAUACAUUGCCGUCGAGUUUUAAUCUUUAUCUAAAACAUUGGGACAGCGAAAGAUCGAUGCAGUUCGGUGGCUCGACCUGAAAGCAUCCUCCGCUCUUCUCGCGAGAUACCGUCAAUAAUGAUUGCGAAGAAACUUGGUGAAAUUCCCACCCAACGGCAACGUCACCCGAUCAACCGAGAGCGAUAUUCAAUUUCCUCGCGCGCGAGUCGCGCGUAUUUGACGCGAUAUUUGCGACCAUUGCGCUGCGGGUGGUAUCCACUUUUCAAGUUCGAGGAUGGGGUUCAAACUGAUACUCGCAAAUAUUUUUCGAACCUCAUAGCGACGGAUGCCAUGGAAGUGUAGUAGGUACGUAGGGGAGGAAAAAGCGGAAAGGGCGCGCGCGGCUAUCGAUAUGUCGUUAUUGUUGUACAGCUGCUACAGUUUACAGGAGUGCGCAAAUUUCAAAGUGACUAUCGGCACUACAUCGGUUACCCUCGUGCCAUCGCGGUGCACGCAAACAAUUGGCCCGAUAGUACCCUCGAUUCGGUAUGAAGCAGGUGCGUGGAGGGGAGGAAUGGAAAACGCAGCUACGCAAACAACUACGGGAACAAUAUGUCUAAUUGUGCCAUAUGCAACACAUGUAUAAAUACAUGUUCACGAAAAGCCGCUGUCAUUCCACUUCGCAGGACAAAGCGAUGUGAUUUUGUUGCAAUGAAUAACGUGAAAAUUGAAUUCUUAUCUAUUCGCCUCUCCCAGUCAACAUUACACCGUCUCAUUUGUAUUUAUAUUACUUUGGAUUUUACCUUAUGAAAUUAUGUCUUUUCGUCUUUCAAAUCUUCUUCCUACCACGGAAGUGUAACACAAUUCUAAAAAUUACUGUUGUUUGUAUAGGAGCUUCGGAAACUAUGUUACGUCAGCAAAUAAUGUAACCUUAUUCCUUGAUUUAACAGCAUUGUAAACUUCAAGUUCCUCUAGCGGAACAAAAACUGUUCUUUUUUUAUUAUUAUCGCACUUGCCGCUUAAGCAGAGAUUAUCAGCUUACUAAUAUGAGUUACGACUCAUACUUACUCUACUAUCAUACAUAACAUAUUCUACAAAUAUUGUAUCCAAAUGUUUUAUACAUAUGUGAACCACGAUAGUAUUGUUACGACCGCU